rnacentral:lncRNA from 10 species
ACAUUUGCUAAAGUGCUUACAGGUAGAGCAGAUAGUGCUGAUCUGAUGCCUGUUCCAGAAACAUCUGUGCCUGACCUUCAAGCUUGUAUUUAUAAAACAGAACUGAACUAGCUGGUAGCAUUUACUCUGGAAUGAAGGAUGGAACUGAUGGGAUUUUCCAAAAGGAGCAGAAAGUCAGUAGGAGAAAAGUUGGAGCUGUACAUCCUCAAUGAGUUGCUACUUCUGUUAUACACAGAAAAUUAAAAGUUGAAUGAAACCCGCAACUAAGAAAUACCAAGUUCAACUAAAUUAAUAAAAUGUGGCUGCAAUACAAUGGCGUGAUCUCAGCUCACUGUAACCUCUGCCUCCCAGGUUCAAGCUAUUCUUCUGCCUCAACCCCUCCGAGCUGCUGGAAUUACAGGCACGCGCCACCAUGCCCAGCUAAUUUUUGUAUUUUUAGGAGAGACGGGAUUUCACCACAUUGGCCAGGCUGGUCUUGAACUCCUGACCUCAAUUGAUCCACCCACCUUGGCCUCCCAAAGUGCUAGGAUUACAAGCAUGAGCCACUGUGCCUGGCCAUUUAAUAGAUCUUUAUUGAGCAAUGAUUUGUGUCAAAUUUAAGCAUGAGAUAUUCAGGAUGAAUAAGAAAGAGUGCCAUGGAUCUUGUUCAAUUAACAGCGUCCUAUCAGGCAUUGUUCUAGAAAAAGUACUUGUGAACACAGAGUUUAUGUCCACAGCAAAGCAGCAGAAAACAAACAAAUGAUGCACAUACAAAUGUUAUUAUGUGAAGUGGGGAUCAGCGAUGAGAAUUUAAAUCAAGCAGUGUCAAAAGACUGAGAGUGACUUGAGCCAGUGCUGUGAUCUGAUGAGGUGAGACAUGAAUUUAGUGAGAAGAGCUAUGUUAACACCUGGAUGAACAACGUGCCAGCCAGAAAAGAGAGCAAGUACAGUGGCCAUGAGGGGGACCAUUUUUGGUGGCUUUGAAAAGCAGCAAGGUGGCCAGUGUUACUGUGAUAGAAUAAUAAGGGGCAGAGAAGGAGUAGGGGGCAUCUGAGCAGUAGCCGGAGAGCAGAUCAUGUAGGGCUUUGCAGGAUAUGGUAAGGAAUCCUGGCUUUAUUCAGAGUAAGAUGGAAAGGAAUGGGAAAAAACAGUAUGAUCAGAACAUGAUCUGAGUUAGUUUCUGCAGGGAUCCCUGUCAUGUGGGAUGGGGGUUGGGAAAGUGGAAGUCAGAUGAACAUCUGGCAGCCCUUGCAAUGGUCCAAACCAGAAGAUAAUUGCUUCAAUAAAUGCUGUGUGUGUUAAAGGAUUAGUGAUUAGCUGGAGUGGGAAGAAGCUGUUGGAUUCUGGAUAUAGUUUAGGACUGAGCAACAAAAUUUGCUGCUAAGUUGGAUAUAGGAUGUGAGGGAAGGAGAGAGGAGUCAUGGUUGACACCAAGAUUUUUGUCUGUGAUGUGCAGUUAUCAUUUGCUGAUGUGAAUAAGACAGAAGAGAGAUGGGCUGAGGGGGAUAAUUAGAAACCAAGAGUUCAGUUUUGGAUACAUUAAGUGUAUACACAAAUGUGCACAUACAAGUGCACACACUUAUACACACACUUAAGUAGAAGUGUUUGAGUGGGUAGUUAGAUAUAUAAGUCUGCAAGUUCAGGAAAGAGGCCCAGUUGGAGUGGGAGUUGUCAGCGGAUAGGUGCUAUUUAAGGCCAUGCUAUUAGAUGAGGCCACUCAGAGAUCUAGAAAGCAUGACCUUCAGAUAACACAGUCUCUGAGUAAAGAAUGUGGCGAGAACACUUUAUCUCAUACUGCUUGUACGUUAUUUAUAUCAAAUCAAGGAUUCAUUCAUUCUCAUUUACUCAUUCCUUUAUUUAUUCACUCACAUUUUAUUUAACAGAUAUCUGAUAGUGCCCUGCCAGGCACUAAACCAGGUACUAAGGACAUAGUGAAGAACAACAGAGGCAUGCUCGUUGGACAGUUCUAUAAAUCCCAGCUACAGGCAUACCUCAUUGUAUCACAUUUCAUUUUACUGCACUUUGUAGAUAUUGCAUUUUUCGCAAAUUGAAGGUUUGUGGCAACCUUGCAUUUAGCAAAUCAAUCAGUGCUGUUUUUCCAACAGCGUUUGCUUACUACGUGUCUUUGUAUCAUAUUUGAUAACUCUCACAAUCUUUGAAACAUUUUCGUUAUUAUAUCUGUUAUGGUUAUCUGUGAUCGGUGCUCUUUGAUGUUACUAUUUUAGUUGUUUUGGUGCAUGAUGAAGUAUGCUCAUAUAGGACGGUGAACGUAAUCAAUAAAUGCUGUGUGUGUUCUGACUGCUCCUCUGACUGGUCAUUCCCCUGUUUUUCUCCCAUACCCUGAGAUACAAUAUUGAAAUUAGACCAGUUAAUAACCCUACGCUAGCCUCAAAAUGUUCAAGUGAAUGGAAGAGUCACCCAUCUCUUACUUUAAGUCAAAAGCUAGAAAUGAUUAAGCUUAGCAAGGAAGGCAUGUCAAAAGUGAAAAAGGCUGAAAGCUUGGCCUAUUGUGCCAAAUAGCCAAGUUCUGAAUGCUAAGAAAUAGUUCCUGAUGGAAAUUAAAAGUGCUCCUCCUCUAGUGAACACAUAAAUGAUAAGAAAGCUAAACAGCCUAUUGUGUGGUGUUUUGUUUGUUAGUUUGUUUUUACAGGGUCUCACUCUGUGGCCCAGGCUGAAGUGCAGUGGUGUAAUCACAGCUCACUGCAGCCUUGACCUCCCAGGCUUAAGCGUUCCUCCCUCCUCAGCCCCUUAAGUAGCUGCGACUACAGGCAGGCAACACCACACCCGGCUAAUUUUUGUAUUUUUUGUACAGCUGGGGUUUCACCAUGUUACCCAGGCUGGUCUCAAACUCCUGGACUCAGCUGAUCGGUCUGCCUUGGCCUCCCAAAGUGCUGGGAUUACAGGCAUGAGCCACCGUGCCUGGCCAAGGCAGCCUUUCUUAUCAAAUUUUAGUAGGCUGGAUAGAAGAUUAAAGCAGCCGCAAUAUUCCCUUAAACCAAGUCUAAUCCAGAGCAGGCCCUAACUCUCUUCAAUGCUAUGAAGGCUGAGAGAGACGAAGAAACUGC